rnacentral:rRNA from 1 species
GGGAGCUCUCCCAUAUGGUCGACCUGCAGGCGGCCGCGAAUUCACUAGUGAUUAGAGUUUGAUCAUGGCUCAGAACGAACGCUGGCGGCAUGCCUAACACAUGCAAGUCGAACGAAGGCUUCGGCCUUAGUGGCGCACGGGUGCGUAACGCGUGGGAAUCUGCCCCUUGGUUCGGAAUAACAGUUAGAAAUGACUGCUAAUACCGGAUGACGACGUAAGUCCAAAGAUUUAUCGCCGAGGGAUGAGCCCGCGUAGGAUUAGCUAGUUGGUGUGGUAAAGGCGCACCAAGGCGACGAUCCUUAGCUGGUCUGAGAGGAUGAUCAGCCACACUGGGACUGAGACACGGCCCAGACUCCUACGGGAGGCAGCAGUGGGGAAUAUUGGACAAUGGGCGAAAGCCUGAUCCAGCAAUGCCGCGUGAGUGAUGAAGGCCUUAGGGUUGUAAAGCUCUUUUACCCGGGAUGAUAAUGACAGUACCGGGAGAAUAAGCUCCGGCUAACUCCGUGCCAGCAGCCGCGGUAAUACGAAUCGAAUUCCCGCGGCCGCCAUGGCGGCCGCGAGCAUGCGACGUCGG